rnacentral:lncRNA from 1 species
ACUCUAAACCCUAAAUCAUCAACUCUAAACCCUAAACCAUGAAAUAUCAACUCUAAACCCUAAACCCCGAAACAUCAACUGUAAACCCUAAACCCUAAACCUUCAAAUCUAAACCCUAAAACAUCAACUCUAAACCCUAAACGUAAACCCUAAACCAUAAAUCUAAACUUAAAACAUCAACUUUAAACCCUAAAUCAUCAACUCUAAACCCUAAACUAUGAAACAUCAACUCUAAACCCUAAACCCCAAAACAUCAACUCUAAACCCUAAACUUUAAAGCUUCAAAUCAAAAACUUAAAACAUCAACUCCAAACCCUAAACGUAAACCCUAAAUGCUAAACCCUAAACCCUAGAUUUUUCUGAAAUUCGAACCGUAAACCCUAAAACCCUGAACCUUCAAAUCUAAACCUUAAAACAUCAACUCUAAACCCUAAACGUAAACCCUACACCCUAAAACCCUAAACAUUCAAAUCUAAACCCUAAAACAUCAACUCUACGGUUUUUGGGUUUAGGGUUCAGGGUUUAGGGUUUAGGGUUUAGGGUUUAGAGUUUAGGGUUUAGAAUUGAAGGUUUAGGGUUUAGGGUUUAGAGUUGAUGUUUUAGGGUUUAGGGUUAAUUUUUUAGGGUUUAGGGUUUUGAGUUUACUUUUUAGGGUUUAGGGUUUAGUGUUGAUGGUUUAGGGGUUUAGUGUUGAUGGUUUAGGGCUUUUGAGUUGAAGUUCAGGGUUUAGGGUUUAGGGUUGAUGUUUUAGGGUUUAGAGUUCAUGGUUUAGGGUUUAGAGUUUAGAGUUGAUGUUUCGGGUUUUAGGGUUUAGAGUUGAUGUUUCAGGGUUUUGGGUUCGAAUUUAAAAAAAAAAUAGGGUUUAGAGUUCGUAUUUCAAAAAAAAAAUAGGGUUUAGGAUUGAUGGUUUAGGGUUUAGAGUUGAGUUUUAGGGUUUAGGGUUUGAAUUUCGAAAUAGCAUAAUUCGAAAAAAAAUUUAAAAAUACCAUCAACACUAAACCCUAAACUAUCAACACUAAACCCUAAACCCUAAAAAGUAAACUCUAAACCCUAAACCCUAAAAAAUUAACCUUAAACCCUAAAACAUCAAAUCUAAACCCUAAACUCUAAACCCUAAAUCUUAAACCCUAAACCCUAAAACCCUAGAGUUGAUGUUUUAGGGUUUAGAUUUGAAGAUUUAGGGUUUACGUUUAGGGUUUAGAGUUGAUGUUUUAGGGUUU